AUUGAACGCUGGCGGAAGGCCUAACACAUUAAAGUCGAGCGAGCGGCGGACGGGUGAGUAAUGUAUGGGGACUGCCCGCUAGAGGGGGAUAACUCCUGGCAACGGUGGCUAAUACCGCAUACGUUCGGAUCGCCCUUAUGGGAUUAGCUAGUUGGUAAGUUAAUGGCUUACCUAGGCGACGAUCCCUAGCUGGUCUGAGAGGAUGAUCAGCCCUACUGGGACUGAGACACGGCCCAGACUCCUACGGAGGCAGCAGUGGGGAAUAUUGCACAAUGGGCGCAAGCCUGAUGCAGCCAUGCCGCGUGUAUGAAGAAGGCCCUAGGGUUGUAAAGUACUUUCAGUCGGGAGGCGUUACCGACAGAAGAAGCACCGGCUAACUCCGUGCCAGCCGCCGCGGUAAUAC
rnacentral:rRNA from 1 species